GACAGAGGUCCCGAGCGUUAGGCGGAAUCACUGGGCUUAAAGCGUGUGUAGGCGGAUCUGUAAGUACCUUGUGAAAUCCCACGGCUUAACCGUGGAACUGCUCGGUAUACUGCGGAUCUUGAGCCACCUAGGGGCAACCGGAACAAACGGUGGAGCGGUGAAAUGCGUAGAUAUCGUUUGGAACGCCAAUGGUGAAAACAGGUUGCUGGGGGUGUGCUGGCGCUGAGACACGAAAGCCAGGGGAGCAAACGGG
rnacentral:rRNA from 1 species